GCAAAGCUUUCACGAUUUGUUUAGGUGUUCCAGCUUUCUUUUCUGUUCUGGAAAAACAUCCAGCCGUCUCAAGAAAAUGUCUAACCCCACAGGAAUCAUGGGGUCCAGUGUCCCCUCCUUAAUCUGACAUGGGAAAUAAAUGGACCUCAUUACAUGACAAUAGAGACACCCAGGAAACAUCUCCCAAAGUGCAAAUCUACCAGGAGCCCACAGACAGCUGAAUGGAGAAAUGAAGUGCGAACUACGGGUUAACUCCAUCGGGAUACUAAUUCAGCUUGGAAGAAGGAGGGAGACUCUGAAGCACUCCCCUGGAUGAACUGCAGGGACAACAAGCUCUGUGAAAUAAGCCCUUCCAAAGAGUCUAUCCCUGCCCGUCCUCCGCUGGAUUCUGGGACUGUCAUUUCCUGGAGAUCCCACUGGCAAAGGAGUGGAAAUGAGUUACGGACACCAAUGAAUUCAGCAAAUGUUUGCUGAGGAUCUACUGUAUACGCAGCGCUGCCUUGGGGCUACAUCCUGUUUGGGAGGAUAAGAGGCAGACAACUGAGUGGACAAGAACAGAUUAGAUGAAGGAAGAGACAGGCAAUGUGACGGAGGCAGGCGGCACUGAACAAGGGUGGAACAAGCUGGAAGGUGAGAAGACACUGGACCAGGAAUCCCAGGCCCAUUCUGAGCACAGGUUCUCACUCUACAGCCAAGGCUAACCUGGAACUCACUGUAUAGCUUAAGUUGGCUUCAAACUUAUGUCCUGCCUCAGUCUCCUUAGUGCUGAGAUUACAGCCAGAGGCCUCUGGCCUCCUUUGUGUUCCCUGGAGACCACAGCCAUGGCACCAGAGCUGCAGUUAUCCUGAGUUUACCUCUGCUGAUCUGUACCCAGAUACUUGAAGGAAGACGGUGUACAGAGUGGCAAAUGGAAGGACACAGAAGGCCAGAUUGCAGAAAUGAACCCCAUGGACAAGGACACUGCUCUCCCGGAAAAGGGGUCUUGAUGGGAAAACAAAUUCACAAAUAAGAUACUCUCAAGUAUUGAUAAGAACUGGAAGCCGAGAAACAACACAAGACUGGGAAGGUAGACUGCUAUAAACUGGGCACCAGGGAAGGUAUAGCUGGAUGGUUGACACACCUGACCCUGGAAAAGGAAGGAGCCAGCUAAGCAAAGAUCUGAAGAGCCUGUGCAAAGCGUCAGCAAGUGCAAAGGUCCUGAAGCUGGAGUCCAAAUGCCUUCUGGAGCUUUUGACCAAUACGAUCUGAAUCACAGGGGUUAUUUCAUUAAGGAAACCACUUCCAGUCCUUUGUGAACCUCUCCACUGCCUCCAAAUCCUCCCCAUGCAAGCUAAUUCCUACUCACUAUGAAUUUUUUCUUUUACGAAAUUCUUCCUAAAACCUUAGGGAGUUCUAGUAGUCUGUGGUUUAUGAAAAAUCACCCUGUGAUUCAGUAACAAAAAUAAAGUGGGGGGGGGGUUGGGGAGACAGCACAGUUAGUAAAAGCAUCUGCAUGUAAGUAUGAGAAGCUAAGUUUGGGUCCCCAGCACUCACACUUAAAAAAUAAAUGGGAACACGAGUGCACACCUUUUUCUUAUGUUUUUCUUUUUUGUUUGUUUUGAGACAGGGUCUCACUAUGUAGC